AAUUGGUUCCCAGGUCAUUUUGUUUCGAAGCUCCACCAGAGAGGUUGCUAAAAUUUGAAUUUUCGUCUUCAAGAUCCGGCCGCUGCAUCAACAAGGUAACUGGAGUGCUAUAUGGUGCACAAGUGUUAUGAACCAAUUGAAGCAGAUUCAUGCCUACAGCCUCAGAAACGGCGUAGAUUAUACCAAAUUCCUCAUCGAAAAACUCCUGCAGAUCCCAAAUCUACCGUAUGCUUGCACCCUCUUCGACCUUAUUCCUAAACCUUCUGUUUUUCUUUACAACAAGUUCAUUCAAACAUUUUCUUCCAUUGGUCACCCCCACCGAUGCUGGUUGCUUUAUUAUCAAAUGUGCCUCCAAGGUUGCUCGCCCAAUCACCAUUCAUUCACCUUUCUCUUUCCCGCAUGCGCUUCCUUUUUAAAUGCUUACCCAGGUCAGAUGCUUCAUUCCCAUUUCUGUAAGUCCGGAUUUGCCUCCGAUGUAUUUGCUUUGACGGCGUUGUUGGACAUGUAUGGGAAAUUGGGAAUUUUGAAGUCCGCACGCCAACUGUUUGAUGAAAUGCCUGUUCGAGAUAUACCCACUUGGAAUUCGAUGAUUGCAGGAUAUGCGAGGUCCGGGUACAUGGGGGCAGCAUUGGAAUUGUUCGACAAAAUGCCUAUCAGAAAUGUGAUCUCUUGGACAGCCUUGAUAUCUGGAUAUGCGCAGAAUGGCAAGUAUGCGAAGGCCUUGGAGAUGUUUCUGAGGUUGGAAAACGAGAAAGGCACUAAACCGAAUGAGGUGACCAUAGCCAGUGUUCUUCCUGCCUGUGCCCAGCUUGGGGCGUUGGAUAUUGGGAAGAGGAUUGAAGUCUACGCUCGGAAGAAUGGGUUUUUCAAAAACUUGUAUGUGAGCAAUGCGAUACUGGAAGUGCAUGCUAGGUGCGGUAACAUUGAGGAAGCUAGGCGAGUUUUUGAUGAGAUUGGAAGCAAAAGAAAUUUGUGCUCAUGGAAUACCAUGAUAAUGGGAUUGGCUGUUCAUGGAAGAUGCCCUGAUGCUCUUCAGCUUUAUGAUCAAAUGUUGAUACAAAGAACAAGACCCGAUGACGUGACAUUUGUAGGGCUGCUCUUGGCUUGCACUCACGGGGGCAUGGUUGCGAAAGGUCGUCAAAUCUUUGAAUCAAUGGAGAUAAAGUUUCAAAUUGCUCCCAAAUUAGAGCACUAUGGGUGCUUGGUCGACCUAUUGGGCAGGGCGGGAGAGAUAGAAGAAGCUUACAGCCUCAUUCAGAGCAUGCCAAUGUUUCCUGAUUCUGUUAUAUGGGGAGCUCUUCUGGGAGCUUGCAGCUUCCACGGCAAUGUUGAACUGGGUGAAGUAGCAGCUGAGUCCUUAUUCAAGCUAGAGCCAUGGAACCCUGGAAACUAUGUCAUUCUCUCAAACAUUUACGCAUCGGCCGGGGAUUGGUCCGGAGUUGCGAGGGUGAGGAAGAUGAUGAAGGGAGGACAUAUUAGGAAGAGAGCAGGAUGUAGUUAUAUUGAAGUGGGAGAUGGGAUUCAUGAGUUCAUUGUGGAAGAUAGAUCACAUCCGAAGAGUGAUGAAAUAUAUGCUUUGCUUCAUGCCAUUUAUGCCAUUAUAAAACUUCAUAGCCAAAACGAAGGGCUCGCUUUCGCUAUUUAAAAUGAACAGAAUUGGAUCAUCAAGGCUUCGUAAGAAACGACUCGGGCUUUCUCUUCCUCUCUCCUAGGGUUUUUCUCUUCCGUUCGAAUCCGAGAAUCCACAAGCGCGAUUAACAGUAGCAACGAUGAGGCCGAUAUUUGUUGGGAACUUCGGGUAUGACACCCGGCAAUCUGAACUGGAGCGGUUAUUCGCCAAAUAUGGGAGAGUUGAAAGGAUCGACAUGAAGUCUGGUAUAUAGCAAUUUCUCUGUACUAGUUUGCAUGCCAUUUUUAACGAAGAUAUUAUAAAUUUGGUCAUGACUCGUGUAGAUUUUAUUGUAUGAAGGAUCCAUUUUUGUGGUCAGCUUCGAACGAUUGCUUAUGUUGAA